rnacentral:lncRNA from 1 species
UGAAAUAUAGCACCAGAAAAGACAAUUUCUUUUAGUGGACAAAAAGGGAAAACAAGAAAGAAAGAGGAGCAUGGCUGCUGACAAACAACAGAUAAUUGAUAGUUACCCAGCAGAGCCAAAAAAAAAAAAAAAAGAAAAAAGUUAAAGCACAUACUAUGGUCAAUUCCUCGAACAUUGUCUAGUCCACGUGGCGGUCGGCGAGGGCCACCGCCACCACCAUAUGGUCCACUUCCAGGUCCUCCCGGACCACCAUCCCAUUUCUUGCUUGAACCAGAGCCUUUUCUGUAGGCAUCUGACUUUUCCAUCUGAUGCACAUGCAACAUUCAAGUUUCCAAUUGAUUGAUGCAGAUUAAAAAAAAUCUAAUAUAUUGACCACUGACAAAGGAUAAUGAAAAUCUUACCGAGAGCAUGGUUGAAAAAAACACUCCUAUGAAAUUGAUAAUUGCCCAGAAGAAAUCAGUGAUGGUUCUCAGUCGCCAUAUUGUUCGCUUUGAUUUCACAACACCUGAACAACCAUAUACGAACAAUGUUUUAU